GACUGUGGGUAGCUCAGCUGGUAGAGCAGGAGACUCUGAAUCUCGGGGUCGUGGGUUCAAGUCCCAUGUUGGGCCCA